rnacentral:lncRNA from 1 species
UUCAGAGUUUUUCAUCAAUAUGUUGUAUUUUUAAAUAAUUUUCUUAAAAACUCUUAUUUUGGAAAGUUUUUUAUUUUUGAUAAAUACUGUAGAUUUGGGUUUGUGAUUUAAAAAUUAGGAUAACAAGAGUUUUAUGGAUAGAUGAGUAUUCUUUAAGAAGUUUUCGUCAAUAGGUUGUAUUUUUAAUCAUUUUUGUAAAAACUGUAAGGAAAGUUUUCAUUUUUUAGAGAAAUAUUGUAGAUUAGGGUUUGUGAUUUAGAAAUUAGGAUAAUAAGAGUAUUUGUGGAUUGAUGAGUAUUCUUUCAGAUUUUUCAUGAAAAUGUUGUAUUUUAAAACAAUUUUCUUUAAAAUGCUUUUUUGGAAAGUUUUAAUUUAUUAGAGAAAUACUGUAGAUUUGAGUUCAUGAUUUAGAAAUUAGGAUAACAAGAAUAUCUGUAAAUAGCUGAGUAUUUUUUUUAGAGUUUUUCAUCAAUAGGUUGUAUUUUUAAAUAAUAUUUCUUAAAAACUGUUACUUUUGGAAAGUUUUCAUUUUUUUGAGAAAUACUGUAGAUUUGGGUUUGUUAAUUAGAAAUUAGGAUAAAAAGAAUAUUUGUGAACAUAUGAGUAUUCUUUAAGAAUUUUUCAUCAAAAUUUUGUAUUUUUAAAUAGUUUUCUUAAAAGCUGCUAUUUUUGGAAAGUUUUCAUUUUCUAGAAAUUUUUUAUAGAUUUGAGUUUGUGAUUUAGAAAUUAGAAUAACAAGAAUAUUUAUGGAUAGUUGAGUAUUCUCUCAAAUUUUUCCUGAAUAGACUAUAUUUUAAAAUAAUUUUCUUGAAAACUACUAUUAUUGAAUUUUUUCAUUUAUUAGAGAAAUACUGUAUACUUGAGUUUAUAAUUUAGAAAUUAGGAUAACAAGAAUAUUUGAAAAUAGUUGACUAUUCUUUAAGAAUUUUUCAUCAAUAUGUUGUAUUUUUAAAUAAUUUCUUUAAAACCUGCUAUUUUUGGAAAGUUUUCAUUAUUUUUAGGUAAAUUUAAUAGAUUUAAGUUUGUGAUUCUUAAAACCUGCUAUUUUUGGAAAGUUUUCAUUUUUUGAAAAAUAAUGUGGAUUUGGGUUUGUGAUUUAGAAAUUAGGAUAACAAGAAUAUUUGUGGAUUGAUGAGUAUU